CUGUGACAUGCUUGCGUGUAAAAAGGGCUAUACAAAUAAAUUUGAUUUGAUUUGAUUUGAUUACGAGGACUUAACAUCUAAAUGUAUUCAUGGCCUCUGCUUAGUUAAAACAGUUAGUUCCAGCCUCUGUUCAGUUAGUUUAACCACGAAUAAUGUUUUGAGUGGUAAAAGCUGUUUCUAUGCGUGUAUUCAUGGAUACCACUGACGUGACGUCAUGUCGACGAGACUGCCGCCAUAUUUGUCCAAUUCGACAGUUCUUUUCUGUUUCGCUAUGGCGGUACACACCUCACACUUGAACUGGGUCCUGUGAAAUAACACAAACCACAUCGUGUUCAUGUCUCUGUAACUGAGACAUGAUAAUAAUAAGAAUAAGAAUUCUAUUCUUGAAUGUAAAUGAUCAGAGAGACAGAGACAGCUAUUAAUGAGUAUUACUCUCCCUGUGUUCUGUGGUCCAGGUAGCUUCAGUCUUUACACUCAGAUAACUAACACUGUGUGUCUUUUUUCAGACUGAGAGAACCCUGAUUGCUGCUUUGGCUGACUACCUGACCUCUGACCCCUGCUCCUGCUCUGACUGACCCAGAGAGAACUCAGACGCAGAGAUAACCGGACCAGAACUCCUGCUUGGCUGGUGAUCAGAUUUCUAGUCACUGAGUUUCAGUCCAUUACAUCACUGAGUAUAGGAGUGUUUCACAUUUUAAUCACUGAGUUUUUGUGGUUUAUCACAACUGCUGAGUUCACACAUGAAUAUAAAUGUAGUGAAAACAGACCUGUAAACAUUGACUGAAGUCAUGUUAGAGCCAUGUGAGCUGAGCUGUUCUGCCUGUAAAGUGGAUCAGAACAGGUCCCAGCAGCAGAGUCUGACAGUAGAAAGCUGACAGUUGAAAGCUGACAGUUUUAAUGGAACAUCACUGAAGGCAGAAAUCAGUGUGUAAUGGGAGCAGAACAUGUGCAGUGAUCAGUUCUGUACUGUUCUGCUUCAUGUUAAACAAGUCAGUGGGUCUUGAGAUUAUUUUAAUCAAGUCCACAUUUCAUAGUACCAGCUGUUUUCACACACAUCUGUAAACUACUGGCCUAAAAAGUGAUUUAUUUAACUUUUUCAAUAUUCUGUUUAUUUGAAUCCAUUAAAUGUUGAACUGUUUACACAUCUUAUGUAACAGACUGCUAGAUUAGAUUACUGCUAUCAACAAUGUCUAAUUAUUGUUUUCUCUGUGUCUUCCUGUUCAACGUGUCUCCUCUCAUUGUCCCUAUCAUUAUUGGACAUUCUGUCUUUCCUGUCCCACCUACCCCCUCUAUCUAAUAUUUGGACAUUCUAUCUUGUAUCAAUCUACCCCCCUCUAUCUAAUAUUUGGACAUUCUAUCUUGUAUCCCUCUGUCCCCUCUCUAUCUAAUAUUUGGAUUUGCUUUGGCUUAUCAGAAUUUCUUUGACUCACCAGAUUUGCUUUGGCUCACCAGAUUUGCUUUGGCUCACCAAAUUUGCUUUGGCUUACCAGAAUUGCUUUGGCUCACCGUUCUCAGAACCAGAUUUGCUUUGGCUCAACGUUCUCGGAACCAGAUUUGUUUUGGAAAACCAAGGUUGAUUGGAACCUUUUCUUUCUGUUUCAGAAAUCUGAGAUCUCACCCAAUUAAUGUUGUUUAUUCUUACUGAGUAAAACUCUAACUACCAUAUUUAUUUAUUUGUCUGCUGGUAAAAGUUCAAGACAAAUUGUACUUAGUCUUGAGUUUGUAUAUUUCCUUGAUAAUAAUUUUCUCUGUGGUGUGACCGAGUACUUAAAACAUAUUACUUAUCUUCUGGAUAUCUACUGUUUUGUCCUAUAAAACCUGUUAUUGAGUUGUAAAUACAUGAAAUAUUUUUUUUUUCUUAACAUAACUGUACAUAAGGUAUACAUUUCCAUAGUUCAUAUUUCCCACACAUUUGACAACCAACCUUUUCUACUUUCAUAUUUUUUGUAAUUGCAUGUAUAAUUACCAAUUAAAUAAAUUAAUUGUUGGAUAUUGAUAAACUAAACACAGCUACAUUUGAAAUAUAACAACAACCGGAGUGUGUUUGUGACAUCAGUACAAAUAAAGUAAGUUUUGAGGUUUUAAAGCACAGCAACGAUGCCAAGGAAGGGUCAACGUUCUCAGGCUCAGAAGCUCAGAUGGCAGAAGGAGAAAGAAUCUCAGCGUGAACAAGCAGAAGGUAUCCCAGUGUCACAGAAUGUAUCUUAUGCUGAGGUUGUAAGGAGAGGACAUCACAGUGAUGGUAUGUGUGUUGGACAGUCUUCUGAUGAACAGCAGGUAAACAACAGAGGCUAGAGUGCAGUUUCUGAUGGGAACACGGUCAUCGAUGCUGUCCAGCAUGAUAAAGAACAACAGGUGAAGCAGGGUGUACCUCAGGUGUCUUAUGCUGACAUGGUAAAGAAAGGACGUGAUGCAGCUGGAACAUCUCAUCAACACCGUGUGAAUGUGGAACCUCAGCCAUCAGUGACACAUGUCUGUGCCUCAC